GCGAAAGUAGUUCAGGGGUAGAACGUCAGCUUCCCAAGCUGGAUGUCGCGGGUUCGAAUCCCGUCUUUCGCUCCA
rnacentral:tRNA from 1 species